rnacentral:tRNA from 1 species
UCCCUUAUAGCUCAGUUGGUAAAGAAUCUGCCUGCAAUGCAGGAGACCCGGGUUCGAUCCCUGGGUCAGGAA